UAAGAGACAGGGGUAGCUGUAAGUAAGCGUUGAUCCAGAGAUUUCCGAAUGGGGGAACCCAGCAUGAGUUAUGUCAUGUUAUCGACAUGUGAAUUCAUAGCAUGUCAGAAGGCAGACCCGGAGAACUGAAACAUCUUAGUACCCGGAGGAAGAGAAAGAAAAAUCGAUUCCCUGAGUAGCGGCGAGCGAAACGGGAAUAGCCCAAACCAACAAGCUUGCUUGUUGGGGUUGUAGGACACUCUAUACGGAGUUACAAAAGAACAUGUUAGACGAAUCAUCUGGAAAGAUGAAUCAAAGAAGGUAAUAAUCCUGUAGUCGAAAACAUAUUCUCUCUUGAGUGGAUCCUGAGUACGACGGAGCACGUGAAAUUCCGUCGGAAUCUGGGAGGACCAUCUCCUAAGGCUAAAUACUCUCUAGUGACCGAUAGUGAACCAGUACCGUGAGGGAAAGGUGAAAAGUACCCCGGAAGGGGAGUGAAAGAGAACUUGAAACCGUGUGCUUACAAGUAGUCAGAGCCCGUUAAUGGGUGAUGGCGUGCCUUUUGUAGAAUGAACCGGCGAGUUACGAUCUGAUGCAAGGUUAAGCAGCAAAUGUGGAGCCGCAGCGAAAGCGAGUCUGAAUAGGGCGUUGAGUAUUUGGUCGUAGACCCGAAACCAGGUGAUCUACCCUUGGUCAGGUUGAAGUUCAGGUAACACUGAAUGGAGGACCGAACCGACUUACGUUGAAAAGUGAGCGGAUGAACUGAGGGUAGCGGAGAAAUUCCAAUCGAACUUGGAGAUAGCUGGUUCUCUCCGAAAUAGCUUUAGGGCUAGCCUCAAGUGAUGAUUAUUGGAGGUAGAGCACUGUUUGGACGAGGGGCCCCUCUCGGGUUACCGAAUUCAGACAAACUCCGAAUGCCAAUUAAUUUAACUUGGGAGUCAGAACAUGGGUGAUAAGGUCCGUGUUCGAAAGGGAAACAGCC
rnacentral:rRNA from 1 species